UACAGAGGGUGCAAGCGUUGUUCGGAAUCAUUGGGCGUAAAGGGCGCGUAGGCGGCCGUUCAAGUCGGGGGUGAAAGCCUGUGGCUCAACCACAGAAUGGCCCUCGAUACUGGAUGGCUCGAGACCGGAAGAGGUUGGUGGAACUGCGAGUGUAGAGGUGAAAUUCGUAGAUAUUCGCAAGAACACCAGUGGCGAAGGCGGCCAACUGGUCCGGUUCUGACGCUGAGGCGCGAAAGCGUGGGGAGCAAACAGG
rnacentral:rRNA from 1 species